UACAGAGGGUGCGAGCGUUAAUCGGAAUUACUGGGCGUAAAGCGAGCGUAGGCGGUUGACUCAGUCAGAUGUGAAAUCCCCGGGCUUAACCUGGGAACUGCAUCUGAUACUGGUUGACUUGAAUGUGUGAGAGGGGAGUAGAAUUCCAGGUGUAGCGGUGAAAUGCGUAGAGAUCUGGAGGAAUACCGAUGGCGAAGGCAGCUCCCUGGCAUAACAUUGACGCUGAGGUUCGAAAGCGUGGGUAGCAAACAGG
rnacentral:rRNA from 1 species